ensembl:lncRNA
ACUCAUCAUACAGUUUGCAACCUGGUGUCAUCCCAACCAAUUUUGAUGUCCAACAAUUACAGGAAAUGCCUAACCUGCCUAGUCCAAGAAGAAAUCUUCAUGAAUCUGAGAACAACAAUGCUAUGAGAAGUCCCACGAUUGCUCUCUGUUCUUGUGAAGGAUCUCCCAUCGCCACCAUCAUUCACCUAAUGGCCGAAAUGAGUUCACGAGAUGAACUUAAAAACAGACUCCGAAGACAGUUAGUGAUAACAAUCCAGCAACGUGAUGAGUAUCAGAGGAGAGACAGAGAAGCCAAAGCCAAAGUGAGGAUGUUUGAGAGAAAGGCCAUUGUGUUGAGGGCACAGGUCAGUGCUUUACAACCAGGUCAAUUCCAUUUACCAUCUGGUCAGAUCUCAAACAACUUGAUGCGAGCCAGCAGACAAAUACAGGUAGGUUUACUUUUCUGGCUUGAUUAGGAUGUGUAGGUAGGGCUGUAUUUUUGUGCAGAUGCUGAAAGCUAAAGACAAAUGGGGUGACAAUUCCUUAAACACAACGAGGGCCAAACUUGUGUUAAAAUUAGAUGUAGAACUUUUAGCUUUAUUUUGAUCUCUUCCAGGAACUGCGUGAACAGGCUAGACAGUAUCAAAUGCCUAUUCCGAUAAGAACUGCUCGUGGAUCUCAGAACAGUGCUAUGAGAUGCCAUGGUGACACUCUCUGUUCUUCUUGUGGCCAACCUCUCACCUCAAUCAGUAUACGCCUACGGCGGUGAUAAAAUCCCGGCAAGCACUGAAAAACACCUUUCGAAGACAAUUCGCGCUGAUAAUCCAGCAACGUGAUGAGCUCAGAGCCAGAGAAGCUGAAGCUAAAGGAAGGAUUUUGGAGAGAAGGCACAUCCUGAUGAAGGCACAAGUCAGAGCUGUGCAUGAGGCCUACCUAAGAGAUAUCAAGUUAGGUAAUCUCAGCAACCCAUAACCAAAUGUUGUGUGAACCAGGGGAUGUGAUGUUUGUGAGAACUUUAUCAAAUAACUUCCAAUUUAUUUGUCACUUACCCAAGUGGUGAGAAAUGGCUAGUUAUUUGAUGCAAGAUGAUUUGCAGUUGACAGCAAGUCAAUAGCCUUAUGACAGGGUUCUCUCAUGAGAGAGUUAGAUGAAAGAAUGAAAAUAUACAAUCAAUUCCAUGCAUUCGUGCAUAACAAAUUCCAUGCAUAAUUCCUUUGAAUACCAUAAUGAUCUUAGCUUUUCUGUACAAUAUUUUAAUACAAAUGUAUACAUUGUAUAUAUUAAUUUUCCCUUUUACCUAUAUUAAAGUGGAUGAGAAAUUCAUUUCUAAUUGUGUGUACGUAACAUAAACCAAUGACUCUAAAGGAGUGUAGGCUAUGUCAUGACGUUGCCCUCUUUGGGUACAGCAGCACUAUUUCCCCCUCCCUCUGCACUAUUCCCCCCCUCCCUCUGCUCCAGCCCUUUUCUAUGCAUCAUUCCCCUACCUCUCACACCCAGGCUGCUGUGGUCAGAAGAGGUAGUAAAUUCCUAGAGAAGAUCCUGCCUCAUGGCCAGACAGUAUAGAGAGAGUGAGUUUUCAUAGAGAGAACAAAGGAGUUUCUUCCAUCUCACAGAACUGGAGAACCAAACAACAUUUAUGUUCUGGAGAAGGUAUAAAAGAUUGAAGAAUCCGGCUACGAACUGGUCCGUUUGGUACAAUUUUGUGAAACUCAUGGGAGACAAUACAGCCACAUUACCAUAACGCUGUUUAUACAAUAGCCUCAGUUAGGAGGCUUACAUAUUUGUUGUAUAAGAUGAAUGAGUGAGGGUGAUACUGUUUGUGAAAUUGUGUAAUGUGAUUUUGGACUGUUCAAUGAAGGAAACUCCAAUUCCCUAAAAAGUUUCACUAAGUCAUUAGCAUGCCCCCAGGGCACAGACAGGACCUGGCAUCAUGAGACAGACUUUUUCUAUGUCCCGAAUAAAACCCCCACGUGGGUUUUCUAUCAGCAGACCGAGCUUACCUCAAUUACAAGAUGGCUAAAGGUUGCAGAACAGUUUAUUACGAGAGGGCCAAGGUUUGAGUAGAGACCAUAAACCUAAGGUUUGAGUAGAUGGCUGAAUCUUUUAACCAUACCACGUGGUUAAACUCUUAGACUAUCGACACCGACAGAAUAAGAACAAGUCUGAUAUUAAUUACUAGUCUUCAGCUAGGAAUUCGGCAUCAUUGAAUGCGAAGACCAACAACCGCCGAAACAUCUAUUCUAUAACGACGAGAGAGAAAAAACUCUCCAACAAAAACAAACUUUUCAACAGAGAUCCUGAUGACACACUGAGCGUAAAUAUAUAUUGAUUGCAAUUGUUCCCAAAUGAGUGAGCGUUCACGUGCAAAGGAUUAGCAUUUAAAUUGUUAUAUUUAUCCCUCUAACAAGCCACCAUACCGGUUUAGCCCACUAGGGCACAUCCCCCUAUCAUUUCUUUGUAACCAUAUCU